rnacentral:rRNA from 1 species
AGAGUUUGAUCCUGGCUCAGAUUGAACGCUGGCGGCAUGCCUUACACAUGCAAGUCGAACGGCAGCGCGGGGCAACCUGGCGGCGAGUGGCGAACGGGUGAGUAACAUAUCGGAACAUGCCCUAGAGUGGGGGAUAACGUAGCGAAAGUUACGCUAAUACCGCAUACGAUCUACGGAUGAAAGUGGGGGAUCUUCGGACCUCAUGCUCAUGGAGUGGCCGAUAUCUGAUUAGCUAGUUGGUGAGGUAAAGGCCCACCAAGGCGACGAUCAGUAGCUGGUUUGAGAGAACGACCAGCCACACUGGAACUGAGACACGGUCCAGACUCCUACGGGAGGCAGCAGUGGGGAAUUUUGGACAAUGGGGGCAA